rnacentral:rRNA from 1 species
AUGACGGCGCAGGCGCUCAUGCCACCGCCGCCGGAGCCGCACACGGCGGGGCGGUGGGCAGGCACGCUGCUGGCCCCCGCCGAUUACGCGCCGCGGGUCUACUACGUGCAGGGCUUCUACGUCGUCUCCUACGGCCUCGGCAUCUACCUCCUCAACCUCCUCAUCGGCUUCCUCUCCCCCAUGGUCGACCCGGAGCUCGAGGCGCUCGACCAGGCCGGCCCCGCGCUCCCCACCCGCGGCAACAACGAGUUAAAGCCCUUCAUUCGCCGCCUCCCCGAGUUCAAGUUCUGGUAUAUCCAUCUCUUCUGCUGCCCCCUUCUUAUUAUUUGA